rnacentral:rRNA from 1 species
UACGUAGGGUGCAAGCGUUAAUCGGAAUUACUGGGCGUAAAGCGUGCGCAGGCGGUUUUGUAAGUCUGACGUGAAAUCCCCGGGCUCAACCUGGGAAUGGCAAUGGAUACUGGCUAGCUAGAGUGUGUCAGAGGAUGGUGGAAUUCCCGGUGUAGCGGUGAAAUGCGUAGAGAUCGGGAGGAACAUCAGUGGCGAAGGCGGCCAUCUGGGACAACACUGACGCUGAAGCACGAAAGCGUGGGGAGCAAACAGG